rnacentral:rRNA from 1 species
UUUUAAAAAAAGAUGGGUUCUGCUAUCACUCUUGGAUGGACCUGCGGUGCAUUAGCUAGUUGGUAGGGUAACGGCCUACCAAGGCGAUGAUGCAUAGCCGAGUUGAGAGACUGAUCGGCCACAUUGGGACUGAGACACGGCCCAAACUCCUACGGGAGGCAGCAGUAGGGAAUCUUCCACAAUGGACGCAAGUCUGAUGGAGCAACGCCGCGUGAGUGAAGAAGGGUUUCGGCUCGUAAAAGCUCUGUUGUUGGUGAAGAAGGACAGGGGUAGUAACUGACCUUUGUUUGACGGUAAUCAAUUAGAAAAGUCACGGCUAACUACGUGCCAGCAGCCGCGGUAAAU